GAUGAACGCUGGCGGCGUGCCUAACACAUGCAAGUCGAACGGACAUUUUUUGGAAAGUUCUUCGGAACUGGAAUCUAAAUGUUAGUGGCGGACGGGUGAGUAACGCGUGAGCAAUCUGCCUUUCAGAGGGGGAUAACAGCCGGAAACGGCUGCUAAUACCGCAUAAUGCAUCGAAUUCGCAUGUUUCUGAUGCCAAAGAUUUUAUCGCUGAAAGAUGAGCUCGCGUCUGAUUAGCUAGUUGGCGGGGUAACGGCCCACCAAGGCGACGAUCAGUAGCCGGACUGAGAGGUUGAACGGCCACAUUGGGACUGAGACACGGCCCAGACUCCUACGGGAGGCAGCAGUGGGGAAUAUUGCGCAAUGGGGGCAACCCUGACGCAGCAACGCCGCGUGAUUGAUGAAGGUCUUCGGAUUGUAAAAAUCUUUAAUCAGGGACGAAUAAAAUGACGGUACCUGAAGAAUAAGCUCCGGCUAACUACGUGCCAGCAGCCGCGGUAAUACGUAGGGAGCAAGCGUUAUCCGGAUUUACUGGGUGUAAAGGGCGUGUAGGCGGGCUUGCAAGUUGGAAGUGAAAUCUCGGGGCUUAACCCCGAAACUGCUUUCAAAACUGCGAGUCUUGAGUGAUGGAGAGGCAGGCGGAAUUCCCAGUGUAGCGGUGAAAUGCGUAGAUAUUGGGAGGAACACCAGUGGCGAAGGCGGCCUGCUGGACAUUAACUGACGCUGAGGCGCGAGAGCGUGNGGAGCAAACAGG
rnacentral:rRNA from 1 species